rnacentral:lncRNA from 1 species
AUGUUUGCUGUCCUAGUCGUUCAGGAAUGGCCCCCCCUCCUCUCACUCCUCCUCCUCUUCCUCCUCCGCCUCCUCUCCUGCUGGGGCUGCUGGGGCAGGUGGCCCAUGGGGCGAGGAGGGGAGGGGAGGGGAGGAUGGGCCGGGCUGGGCUCUGGCAGCUUUCUCCCUCCCCCUCCCCUUCCCCUUCCCCCCUCUCCGGCCCUCAGAGGUCAGUCAGUCCGUCCGUCAGUCAGGCUGGGCUUCCAAGGCCCGGCUCCCUCAGCUCCCAGCCCAAGUACAACGGUGCACCACGGGGACAGGAUGGGGGUGGAGGGUGGAGGAUGGAGGACAGGCCGGGGUGGGAGGGAGGAGGAGAAAUGGGGAGGAGGGAGAGGAGGAGAAAGUGGGCUGGAAGGGGAGGAGGGUGGAGGGGGACAGGGAUGGAGGAGGAGAAGAGAGUGGGCUGGGGAAGAGGAUGGGGGGACAGGGAUGGAGGAGGAGGAGGAGAAGAAAGUGGGCUGGAGGGGGAGGAGGGUGGAGGGUGACAAGAAUGGGGGAGGAGAAAGUGAGCUGGAGGAGGUGGAGAGGGACAGGGAUGGAGGAGGAGAAAGUGGGCUGGGGAGGAGGAUGGAGGGGGACAGGGAUGGAGGAGGAGGAGGAGAAAAUGGGCUGGAGGAGGUGGAGGGGGACAGGGAUGGAAGAGGAGGAGAAAAUGGGCUGGGAAGGAGGGUGGAGGGGGACAGGGAUGGAGGAGGAGAAAAUGGGCCGGGGAGGAUGGAGGGGGGCAGGGAUGGAGGAGGAGAAAGUGGGCUGGAGGAGGAGGAAAUGGGCUGGGGAGAAGGAUGGAGGGGGACAGGGAUGGAGGAGGAGGAGAAAGUGGGCUGGAGGAGGGUGGAGGGUGAAAGGGAUGGAGGAGGAGAAAGUUGGGCUGAAGGAGGUGGAGAGGGACAGGGAUGGAGGAGGAGGGGGAGAAAGUGGGCUGAGGGGGAGGAGAAAGUGGACUGGGGAGGAGGAGAAAGUGGGUUGGGAGGAGGAGAAAGUGGGUUGGGGAGGAGGGUGGAGAGGGCUAGGGAUAGAGGAGGAGGGGGAGAAAGUGGGCUGGGGUGGAGGGCUGCGGGCAAGUGA